rnacentral:rRNA from 1 species
UCUGGUUGAUCCUGCCGGACCCGACUGCUAUCAGAGCGGGACUAAGCCAUGCGAGUCGACACAGCAAUGUGUGGCAUACGGCUCAGUAACACGUAGUCAACAUGCCCAGGGGACGUGGAUAACCUCGGGAAACUGAGGAUAAACCGCGAUAGGUCACUACUUCUGGAAUGGGUAAUGACCCAAACCUAUAUGGCCCCUGGAUUGGACUGCGGCCGAUCAGGCUGUUGGUGAGGUAAUGGCCCACCAAACCUGUAACCGGUACGGGCUCUGAGAGGAGGAGCCCGGAGAUGGGCACUGAGACAAGGGCCCAGGCCCUAUGGGGCGCAGCAGGCGCGAAACCUCUGCAAUAGGCGAAAGCUUGACAGGGUUACUCUGAGUGAUUUCCGUUAAGGAGAUCUUUUGGCACCUCUAAAAAUGGUGCAGAAUAAGGGGUGGGCAAGUCUGGUGUCAGCCGCCGCGGUAAUACCAGCACCCCGAGUGGUCGGGACGUUUAUUGGGCCUAAAGCAUCCGUAGCCGGUUCUACAAGUCUUCCGUUAAAUCCACCUGCUUAACAGAUGGGCUGCGGAAGAUACUAUGGAGCUAGGAGGCGGGAGAGGCAAGCGGUACUCGAUGGGUAGGGGUAAAAUCCGUUGAUCCAUUGAAGACCACCAGUGGCGAAGGCGGCUUGCCAGAACGCGCUCGACGGUGAGGGAUGAAAGCUGGGGGAGCAAACCGGAUUAGAUACCCGGGUAGUCCCAGCUGUAAACGAUGCAGACUCGGUGAGUUGGCUUUAUGCCAACUCAGUGCCGCAGGGAAGCCGUUAAGUUUGCCGCCUGGGGAGUACGGUCGCAAGACUGAAACUUAAAGGAAUUGGCAGGGGAGCACCACAAGGGGUGAAGCCUGCGGUUCAAAUGGAGUCAACGCCGG